rnacentral:rRNA from 1 species
UUUGCCUACGGGGGGCAGCAGUGGGGAAUAUUGCACAAUGGGGGGAACCCUGAUGCAGCGACGCCGCGUGAGUGAAGAAGUAAUUCGUUAUGUAAAGCUCUAUCAGCAGGGAAGAAAAUGACGGUACCUGACUAAGAAGCCCCGGCUAACUACGUGCCAGCAGCCGCGGUAAUACGUAGGGGGCAAGCGUUAUCCGGAAUUACUGGGUGUAAAGGGAGCGUAGGCGGUGAUGCAAGUCAGAUGUGAAAACCCGGGGCUCAACCCCGGGAGUGCAUUUGAAACUGUGUGACUGGAGUGCAGGAGAG